rnacentral:SRP_RNA from 1 species
UCAGGUGUGGUGACACACACCUGUAAUCCCUGAUACUAGUAUGGUUAAAGCUGCUAGAUCCCUUGAGUUUAGGAAUUCUGGGAUUUAGUAGGGCUAGGAACAAACAAGUGUCCACUCUAAAACUGGCAUCAAAAUGGUGAGCUCUGAGAGCAAGAAGGCCACCAGGUCAUCUAAGGAGGGGUGAACCAGCUCAGGUUAGAAAUGAAGCAGAUCCAAGCUGCCUUACUGAUCUUUUGGAGCAUUCAGACUCAUGAGUUGCCACUGUGUUUCUAGCCUGGAUGAGACAAGGAGACCAGGCUCAA